UUGAAAUAAACCUGAUGGGUUGUUGCUGGUUCUCUAGGGAGCAUGUGCACACCUUGUCAUCUUUAUAUCUCCACCUGUGCACCUUUUGUAGACCUUCCAGGUCUAUGUUGCUUCAUUUAUCCCCAAUGUAUGUUAAUAGAAUGUUGUGUUUAUAAAAUCUAUA
rnacentral:misc_RNA from 1 species